CAAACAAAAUUCUAAUUUUAUUACAGGGACAAAAUUUCUAUCAAUAUAAAAACACAUCCCCCAUUCCUCUCAUUUACAAAAUUCCCACUAAUAAACUUCAUAAAUCUCUAGAAGACCUUUACAGAUAAUCGAUUACGUAACAAUAAUCAAAAUACUAAACAUCAAUUUAACUUCAAAAAAGAAAAAGAAGAAGAAAAAAACGCCAAGACUUGAGAGUCGACAAGGACGAAAAAGCAAGAUGUAGAAGAGAAUUCAGUUCCCUAGAGAGCAUUGUGGAAAGGGAAGCAAGGAACGAAACCCUAAAAAAACGAGGGCAGGAUUGGUUGCAUCGGCGUCGUCACCGUCGUCGACGAUCCGCUUCGAGGACACACACUCACACACACACA
rnacentral:lncRNA from 1 species